AGCGGGUCUUCAUAAUGGCAGCAAUUCCCUGCCAAAUGUCCAGGGCUCCAGCGAGAGGAUGGAGAAAGGACCCAGCCCACAGAGUUACAUCAAUCCAUGGGGACCACCUGCCUGCAGCAGUCAAUAUUUCAGGUGGAUCCAUCCAUCUGUGGGAUACAGAUGGGGGAAUUAUUACAAAAUGGUAACCAAAUUGAGCUGACAAAUCUACCAGUGCACAGCUGGGAUCUGGAUAGAGCUACAGAUAGAUUUCAUAAAUGUGGCGCACCCUGAUGCUUGAGCAGAAUAAACUGUAGUUUUAAU
ensembl:lncRNA